rnacentral:rRNA from 1 species
UCCCAUGCAUACCACGCUGAUGCAGCCAUGCCGCGUGUAUGAAGAAGGCCUUCGGGUUGUAAAGUACUUUCAGCAGUGAGGAAGGAUGAUGCUUUAAUAGAGUUUCAUUUUGACGUUAGCUGCAGAAGAAGCACCGGCUAAUAUCCGUGCCAGCAGCCGCGGUAAUA